GCAGCCCAGCAGCCCAGCAGGUCUAGCAGCACACCAUACCAUACUGGGGAGCACAGACUCCGGUACAUUCUGCUGCUGAUACAAGAGGGAAAGUGGCUGUGUUCUGUCUCCAGGAGAACAGGUGUGGUGGCUGAGCAUAGCGACCAGCAUUCAUUCCUACAGCUGAUCAGAGCAUCUGGCACCCAAUCUACGUCUCUUUAACAAAGCCAAAGGAUCUCGCUGGGUCUCCCAAGAGCAGCUGGUCCUUAGCGUCAAGCUUCGGAAUCAGCACUAAACCCCUGCGGUCUGUGCUCAUGUGAAACUUAUUAUGACCUGGGCCAGAAUGACGCUGACUGGCAGCAAAGAGAUAAGUCUGUGACAUUUUAAUGUUUAAUAGAAGAUUUUCUAUCGCUGAGAUGUGCAGUGAUGCCAAAAACAUUGUGGGUUUUGCCCAUAUACAGCUCCUGCCAGAAAAAAGUUUUUCAACAAAAACAUCACCAUGCCAUUUCCAGAGAUGCUGCGGCGUGAUUACUUCCACAUUCCAUCUUCUGGUACCCAUAUCCAUGA